rnacentral:rRNA from 1 species
UACGAAGGGGGCGAGCGUUGUUCGGAUUUACUGGGCGUAAAGGGCGCGCAGGCGGCUUUGUUUGUCAGGCGUGAAAGCCCCGGGCUUAACCUGGGAACUGCGUUUGAUACGGCAGGGCUAGAGUUCGGGAGAGGAGAGUGGAAUUCCCAGUGUAGAGGUGAAAUUCGCAGAUAUCAGGAAGAACACCCGUGGCGAAGGCGGCUCUCUGGGACGGUACUGACGCUGAGACGCGAAAGCGUGGGGAGCGAACAGG